rnacentral:rRNA from 1 species
GACGAACGCUGGCGGCGUGCUUAACACAUGCAAGUCGAGCGGUAAGGCCCUUUCGGGGUACACGAGCGGCGAACGGGUGAGUAACACGUGGGUGACCUGCCCUCAGCUCUGGGAUAAGCCUGGGAAACUGGGUCUAAUACCGGAUAUGACUCCACGGCGCAUGUUGUGGGGUGGAAAGCCUUGUGUGGCUAGAGAUGGGCCCGCGGCCUAUCAGCUUGUUGGUGGGGUGAUGGCCUACCAAGGCGACGACGGGUAGCCGGCCUGAGAGGGCGACCGGCCACACUGGGACUGAGACACGGCCCAGACUCCUACGGGAGGCAGCAGUGGGGAAUCUUGCGCAAUGGGCGAAAGCCUGACGCAGCGACGCCGCGUGAGGGAUGACGGCCU